GAUAUGGUUUGAAGCAAUCUCCUCGGGCAUGGUUUGGUAGAUUCAGUGAGGUGAUUAUUGAUUUUAGUCUUCGUAGAUGUGGAGUUGACCACUCUGUUUUCUAUCGCCAUUCUACAGCUGGUCAAAGAUUUUUUUGUAUGUGGAUGACAUUGUAAUCUCAAGUUACUCGUUAGAGUAGGGGUCGCGAGAGAGCAUUCUCCCAUUUCCACACCUUAUCUUGCUUUAGCUUUGCCUUAGAGAAUGAAUUCCCUGGAGCCCCUCGGCCAGGGAACUUCCAAAAAG
rnacentral:lncRNA from 1 species